GCCCCGGUGGUGGAAUGGUAGACACGCCGGACUUAAAAUCCUGUGACCUUCGGGUCGUGCGGGUUCAAGUCCCGCCCGGGGUAC
rnacentral:tRNA from 1 species